rnacentral:rRNA from 1 species
GAUGAACGCUGGCGGCGUGCCUAAUACAUGCAAGUAGAACGCUGACGGAGGAGCUUGCUCUUCUGGAUGAGUUGCGAACGGGUGAGUAACGCGUAGGUAACCUGCCUGGUAGCGGGGGAUAACUAUUGGAAACGAUAGCUAAUACCGCAUGACAACAGUUAUUGCAUGAUAACUGUUUAAAAGGGGCAACUGCUCCACUACCAGAUGGACCUGCGUUGUAUUAGCUAGUUGGUGAGGUAACGGCACACCAAGGCGACGAUACAUAGCCGACCUGAGAGGGUGGACGACCAAACCUGGAAUGGGAAAACGCCCAGACUUCUACGGGAGGCAGCAGUAGGGAAUCUUCGGAAAUGGACGGAAGGCUGACCGAGCAACGCCGCGUGAGUGAAGAAAGGUUUCGGAUCGUAAAGGUCUGUUGUAAGAGAAGAACGAGUGUGAGGGUGGAAAGUUCACACUGUGACGGUAUCUUACCAGAAAGGGACGGCUAACUACGUG